rnacentral:rRNA from 1 species
GAUGAACGCUGGCGGCGUGCCUAAUACAUGCAAGUCGAGCGAACAGACGAGGAUCUUGCUCCUCUGACGUUAGCGGCGGACGGGUGAGUAACACGUGUAGAACCUACCUAUAAUACUGGGAUAACUUCGGGAAACCGGAGCUAAUACCGUAGAAUAUAUUGAACCGCAUUGGGCAAUGGUGAAAUACGGUGUUUCUGUCACUUAUAGAGGGAUCCGCGCCGCAUUGGAUAGUUGUUAAGUUAACGGCUUACCAAGGCAACGAGGCGUAGCCGACCUGUGGGGCGGAUCGGCCACCUGGGAGCUGGAACACGGUCAAGAGUACUACGGGAGGGAGCAGAAGGGAACCUUACGCAAUGGGCGAAAGCAUGACGGAGCAACGCGGCGCGAGUGACGACGGUCUUCGGAUCGUAAUAAUCUGUUACUAGGGAAGAACAACUGUGGAAGUAAACAUGCACGUCUUGACGGUAACUAAUAAGAAAGCAACGGCUAACUACGUG